AACGCACAUUGCGCCCUUUGGUAUUCCGAAGGGCAUGCCUGUUCGAGCGUCAUUAUCACCCCUCAAGCCCCUCGGCUUGGUGUUGGACGGCCUGGCGGGGACCUCUCGGUCGCCGCCCCUCCCAAAGACAAUGACGGCGGCUCGUUGGACCCCCGGUACACUGAGUUCUUCACGGGACACGUACUGGAUCAAGGGUGCGCGGGCGACGGUCUACCUCCCCCUCGCGGGAGAACUUUUUUACAAGGUUGACCUCGGAUCAGGUAGGGAUACCCGCUGAACUUAA
rnacentral:misc_RNA from 1 species